rnacentral:misc_RNA from 1 species
CUGGUUGGCAUUUUAAGUGGCAAUAUGUUGCAAAGAAAUUGAAGCAUUCCCAUAUAAGCUUAUGUGAGCUUUGGAGUGUCAAACGAGCAUUCUGCAACGCGUGCUUCUUCACUUUUAGACUUUGGAAAUUGAUGAUGGUUGGUUCUGUCUUUUUGAAAGAUAACAGAGACGAGCAAUUGUGGAUUGGCCUCUCAUGUGCCAGGGCCAUUGCCUAUCUGGUGG